rnacentral:rRNA from 1 species
CAGCCGCCGCGGGAACACGUAGGGUGCAAGCGUUAAUCGGAAUUACUGGGCGUAAAGCGUGCGCAGGCGGUUUGUUAAGACAGAUGUGAAAUCCCCGGGCUCAACCUGGGAACUGCAUUUGUGACUGGCAAGCUAGAGUAUGGCAGAGGGGGGUGGAAUUCCGCGUGUAGCAGUGAAAUGCGUAGAUAUGCGGAGGAACACCGAUGGCGAAGGCAGCCCCCUGGGCCAAUACUGACGCUCAUGCACGAAAACGUGGGGAGCAAACAGGAUUAGAUACCCCUGUAGUCCCUGUCUCUUAUAC